CUGGUUGCCAUGACAGCCUCCUCCUUGGUUCCUCCAGAGAAGAAAAGAGAGCCUGGCAGAACCCAGCUGGUGUAUCUGGAUGGCUCCCAGCCUCCUGCAGGAGGCUAAAUGGGGAAAGCACCCUCAGGGUUUUCCAAAAGAUGACUGGGGCGGAGAUGGGCAGAAUAAAGUCAACAGAAAGCAGCACUCACUGGCAGACACCAGGUCCAUGUACUGGCAGAGGGCAUGAAGCAAGAGCCUCUCAAAGCUAGGAAGAACAAGAACAAGGAGAUGGCAUUAGGGCCCAGGCCCCUCCAGCGUGUCCUGGGAGAGGGAGGGACGAGUCAGGACAGUCAGGACCCCACCCGGACGCCCCAGGAGGUGCUGCUCCCCACCAUCGCUGUCCCUCCGACCAGCAAGCCCCAUCUCCUCCCAGAGAACCCUCCCUUCGAAGCACAGCCUGGAAUCUAGAAGGAACAUCAGCGCUGGAAGGGAGCACAGGGACUGUCUAGCAAGGAUUCCCUCUACGACACAAAUGCUUGUUGACCAACUAAAACUGGUCGUGUGCUAGAACCGCCUUCCCAGGAACUCUGCGGCGCCCUGGGUGCCCCUCUCCCUUCUUUGUACCCCCUGAAGCAGCCACUGCCCAGGCACUCAGAUUAAAGAGGCAUUCAAGGA